CUGGGAGUCUAUUCCUGAAACGAGGACCCUAGAUAUCGCAUGCGAUAUCGCAUACGAUAGCAGAAAUGAUAUUCUUGAAUGAGAUGCAUCGCAUGCGAGAAAAUAUCGAACGAUUCAUACCGAGUGGUAUAACCCAUGCGAUAUGCAAGUCGCAUACGAUAAAUCUAGUAAUAAAAGCGCUGUUUUCGACAAAAAAUGAGGUUAUACAAUGUGAGUGAGGUGAAUUAAAUUAAUUGUUUUGCAAUGAAUAUGGCAUAUCAAAAUGCUGUGCAACUUUAUAUCGCUGAACAAUUGGAAAAUAUUUUCGAUUAUAAUGAAAGACUGCGUUUUCACAUAAGGGAUGAUCCAUUUGAAUUAUCAGAACGACAAUUCAUAAAUCUUUUUCGAUUGAAAAAAGAAACAGCAAACAGACUUAUUAAUAUUGUGGAAGACAAUUUUGUAGAACCAUCACGAUCUUCAGCUUUGGACGCGACAAGUUUUAGUUGCAUUACACUUUUAUGGAUCAGGCAGCUAUCAGAAUUGCAUAGGAAAAAAUAUUCACAUCGCUAUUAGUCAACCUUCGGUUAGCAGAUGUGUUCGAAAUGUGACUAACAUUCUUAAUUUACCAGAAAUAUUCAACGAUUGGGUGUAUUUUCCUAACACCUUUCAGAAGCUGCAACAACUACGUAACAAUGAAUGUAUAUAGGAUGUGUAACACAUUCUAUAGAAACUUGCUAGGGAAACGAAACGAAUUAAUGACAGACAGUGUACAUGUAUAUAGAUUUUGGAUUAAUCAUCGUUUUCCUGGAGCGAUUGGUUGUAUAGACUGCACUCAUGUUGUAAUUGUUUCACCUCCUAAAGAAGAUUAGAAUUAUCCUGAACAUAUAUACAUAAAAGGAUAUCAUUCUAUUAAUGUACAAUUGAUAUAUGAUUCUGAUCUCAGGAUAAUGAAUGUUAAUGCCAGAUAUCCUGGAAGUAUUCACGAUUCGUAUAUCUGGAAUAAUAGUAAUGUUCUUCCUUGUUCUUAUGCAAGAUAUUUACAAUCGUGGACACAGCUUUUUUUUAUUAGGUAAUAUAUAAUCGUCAAAGUGAUUAUUCAAUAUUGUUUUUAGUUACAAUAUAUAACAUUAUAUUGCU
rnacentral:misc_RNA from 1 species